rnacentral:rRNA from 1 species
AACGAACGCUGGCGGCAUGCCUAACACAUGCAAGUCGAACGAGACCUUCGGGUCUAGUGGCGCACGGGUGCGUAACGCGUGGGAACCUGCCCUUAGGUUCGGAAUAACUCCCCGAAAGGGGUGCUAAUACCGGAUAAUGUCUUCGGACCAAAGAUUUAUCGCCUUUGGAUGGGCCCGCGUUGGAUUAGCUAGUUGGGAGGGUAAAAGCCUACCAAGGAGAGGAUCCAUAGCUGGUCUGAGAGGAUGAUCAGCCACACUGGGACUGAGACACGGCCCAGACUACUGCGGGAGGGAGGAGUGGGGAAUAUUGGACAAUGGGCGGAAGCCUGAUCCAGCAAUGCCGCGUGAGUGAUGAAGGCCUUAGGGUUGUAAAGCUCUUUUAACCGGGAUGAUAAUGACAGUACCGAGAGAAUAAGCUCCGGCUAACUCCGUG